GAUGAAGAACGCAGCGAAAUGCGAUAAGUAAUGUGAAUUGCAGAUUUCAGUGAAUCAUCGAGUCUUUGAACGCACAUUGCGCCCCCUGGUAUUCCGGGGGGCAUGCCUGUCCGAGCGUCAUUGCUGCCCUCAAGCACGGCUUGUGUGUUGGGCCUCCGUCCUCCUCCCGGGGGACGGGCCCGAAAGGCAGCGGCGGCACCGCGUCCGGUCCUCGAGCGUAUGGGGCUUCGUCACCCGCUCUUGUAGGCCCGGCCGGCGCUUGCCGACACAUCAAUCUUUUUUCCAGGUUGACCUCGGAUCAGGUAGGGAUACCCGCUGAACUUAAGCAUAUCAAUAAGCGGAGGA
rnacentral:misc_RNA from 1 species